rnacentral:rRNA from 1 species
AGUCGAGCGUAACAGAAGGGAGCUUGCUCCCGGAUGUUAGCGGCGGACGGGUGAGUAACACGUGGGUAACCUGCCUGUAAGACUGGGAUAACUCCGGGAAACCGGAGCUAAUACCGGAUAGUUCCUUGAACCGCAUGGUUCAAGGAUGAAAGACGGUUUCGGCUGUCACUUACAGAUGGACCCGCGGCGCAUUAUCUAGUUGGUGGGGUAAUGGCUCACCAAGGUUACUAUGCGUAGCCGACCUGANAGGGUGAUCGGCCACACUGGGACUGANACACGGCCCAUACUCCUACGGGAGGCAGCAGUAGGGAAUCUUCCGCAAUGGACUAAAGUCUGACGGAGCAACGCCGCGUGAGUGAUGAAGGUUUUCGGAUCUGAAAGCUCUGUUGUUAGGGAAGAACAAGUGCGAGAGUAACUGCUCGCACCUUGUACGGUACCUAACCAGAAAGCCACGGCUAACUACGUGCCAGCAGCCGCGGUAAUACGUAGGUGGCAAGCGUUGUCCGGAAUUAUUGGGCGUAAAGGGCUCGCAGGCGGUUUCUUAAGUCUGAUGUGAAAGCCCCCGGCUCAACCGGGGAGGGUCAUUGGAAACUGGGAAACUUGAGUGCAGAAGAGGAGAGUGGAAUUCCACGUGUAGCGGUGAAAUGCGUAGAGAUGUGGAGGAACACCAGUGGCGAAGGCGACUCUCUGGUCUGUAACUGACGCUGAGGAGCGAAAGCGUGGGGAGCGAACAGGAUUAGAUACCCUGGUAGUCCACGCCGUAAACGAUGAGUGCUAAGUGUUAGGGGGUUUCCGCCCCUUAGUGCUGCAGCUAACGCAUUAAGCACUCCGCCUGGGGAGUACGGUCGCAAGACUGAAACUCAAAGGAAUUGACGGGGGCCCGCACAAGCGGUGGAGCAUGUGGUUUAAUUCGAAGCAACGCGAAGAACCUUACCAGGUCUUGACAUCCUCUGACAACCCUAGAGAUAGGGCUUUCCCUUCGGGGACAGAGUGACAGGUGGUGCAUGGUUGUCGUCAGCUCGUGUCGUGAGAUGUUGGGUUAAGUCCCGCAACGAGCGCAACCCUUGAUCUUAGUUGCCAGCAUUUAGUUGGGCACUCUAAGGUGACUGCCGGUGACAAACCGGAGGAAGGUGGGGAUGACGUCAAAUCAUCAUGCCCCUUAUGACCUGGGCUACACACGUGCUACAAUGGACAGAACAAAGGGCUGCGAGACCGCAAGGUUUAGCCAAUCCCAUAAAUCUGUUCUCAGUUCGGAUCGCAGUCUGCAACUCGACUGCGUGAAGCUGGAAUCGCUAGUAAUCGCGGAUCAGCAUGCCGCGGUGAAUACGUUCCCGGGCCUUGUACACACCGCCCGUCACACCACGAGAGUUUGCAACACCCGAAGUCGGUGAGGUAACCUUUA